GGGUAUUUCCAAUGACAAGGAGGUGCUUCCGGCCGGAGUUGAACCAGCCACCUUAGGAUCACAGCGUUUCACACAAGGAGCAUCUUACAGUCCACCGCUCUACGAACUGAGCUAUCAAGGGGCUCUCUAGUCCCUAGUGCAGAAAACAUAGUUGCUUCGAAGACACACUAUGCCCACAGAACUAUUCCAACCCAUGGUCAAUGAAAAGCCCAGCCCUACCUGACGAACAAAGCUUUGCAGUUUGUACCCAACAGUCAUUGCCAGGGACCCAGAACUGAUAAUCAGGACUUUUAGGCUGGGUGAAUAAAAAAUUGAUGGUUGAAAAUUUAAGAAAGAGUUAUCUUGUUUGUGUUUUUACAUUUUGGAGGAGUUGACAGAUAAAGACAAGGUUUUGGGGUAUUUCCAAUGACGAGGAGGUGCUUCCGGCUGGAGUUGAACCAGCCACCUUAGGAUCACAGCGUUUCACACAAGGAGCAUCUUACAGUCCACCGCUCUAGCAACUGAGCUAUCAAGGUGCUCUCUAGUCACAAGUGCAGAAAACAUAGUGGCUUCGAAGACACACUAUGCCCACAGAACUAUUCCAACCCAUGGUCAAUGAAAAGCCCAGCCCUACCUGACGAACAAAGCUUUGCAGUUUGUACCCAACAGUCAUUGCCAGGGACCCAGAACUGAUAAUCAGGACUUUUAGGCUGGGUGAAUAAAAAAUUGAUGGUUGAAAAUUUAAGAAAGAGUUAUCUUGUUUGUGUUUUUACAUUUUGGAGGAGUUGACAGAUAAAGAGAAGGCUUGGGGUAUUUCCAAUGACAAGGAGGUGCUUCAGGCUGGAGUUGAACCAGCGACCUUAGGAUCACAGCGUUUCACACAAGGAGCAUCUUACAGUCCACCGCUCUACCAACUGAGCUAUCAAGGUGCUCUCUAGUCACAAGUGCAGAAAACAUAGUGGCUUCUAAGACACACUAUGCCCACAGAACUAUUCCAACCCAUGGUCAAUGAAAAGCCCAGCCCUACCUGACGAACAAAGCUUUGCAGUUUGUACCCAACAGUCAUUGCCAGGGACCCAGAACUGAUAAUCAGGACUUUUAGGCUGGGUGAAUAAAAAAUUGAUGGUUGAAAAUUUAAGAAAGAGUUAUCUUGUUUGUGUUUUUACAUUUUGGAGGAGUUGACAGAUAAAGACAAGGCUUGGGGGUAUUUCCAAUGACAAGGAGGUGCUUCCGGCCGGAGUUGAACCAGCCACCUUAGGAUCACAGCAUUUCACACAAGGAGCAUCUUACAGUCCACCGCUCUACCAACUGAGCUAUCAAGGGGCUCUCUUGUCCCUAGUGCAGAAAACAUAGUGGCUUCGAAGACACACUAUGCCCACAGAACUAUUCCAACCCAUGGUCAAUGAAAAGCCCAGCCCUACCUGACGAACAAAGCUUUGCAGUUUGUACCCAACAGUCAUUGCCAGGGACCCAGAACUGAUAAUCAGGACUUUUAGGCUGGGUGAAUAAAAAAUUGAUGGUUGAAAAUUUAAGAAAGAGUUAUCUUGUUUGUGUUUUUACAUUUUGGAGGAGUUGAGAGAUAAAGACAAGGUUUUGGGGUAUUUCCAAUGACGAGGAGGUGCUUCCGGCUGGAGUUGAACCAGCGACCUUAGGAUCACAGCGUUUCACACAAGGAGCAUCUUACAGUCCACCGCUCUACCAACUGAGCUAUCAAGGUGCUCUGUAGUCACAAGUGCAGAAAACAUAGUGGCUUCGAAGACACACUAUGCCCACAGAACUAUUCCAACCCAUGGUCAAUGAAAAGCCCAGCCCUACCUGCAGAACAAAGCUUUGCAGUUUGUACCCAACAGUCAUUGCCAGGGACCCAGAACUGAUAAUCAGGACUUUUAGGCUGGGUGAAUAAAAAAUUGAUGGUUGAAAAUUUAAGAACGAGUUAUCUUGUUUGUGUUUUUACAUUUUGGAGGAGUUGACAGAUAAAGACAAGGCUUGGGGGUAUUUCCAAUGACGAGGAGGUGUUUCCGGCUGGAGUUGAACGAGCCACCUUAGGAUCACAGCGUUUCACACAAGGAGCAUCUUACAGUCCACCGCUCUACCAACUGAGCUAUCAAGGGGCUCUCUAGUCACAAGUGCAGAAAACAUAGUGGCUUCGAAGACACACUAUGCCCACAGAACUAUUCCAACCCAUGGUCAAUGAAAAGCCCAGCCCUACCUGACGAACAAAGCUUUGCAGUUUGUACCCAACAGUCAUUGCCAGGGACCCAGAACUGAUAAUCAGGACUUUUAGGCUGGGUGAAUAAAAAAUUGAUGGUUGAAAAUUUAAGAAAGAGUUAUCUUGUUUGUGUUUUUACAUUUUGGAGGAGUUGACAGAUAAAGACAAGGUUUUGGGGUAUUUCCAAUGACAAGGAGGUGCUUCCGGCUGGAGUUGAACCAGCCACCUUAGGAUCACAGCGUUUCACACAAGGAGCAUGUUACAGUCCACCGCUCUACCAACUGAGCUAUCAAGGUGCUCUCGAGUCACAAGUGCAGAAAACAUAGUGGCUUCGAAGACACACUAUGCCCACAGAACUAUUCCAACCCAUGGUCAAUGAAAAGCCCAGCCCUACCUGACGAACAAAGCUUUGCAGUUUGUACCCAACAGUCAUUGCCAGGGACCCAGAACUGAUAAUCAGGACUUUUAGGCUGGGUGAAUAAAAAAUUGAUGGUUGAAAAUUUAAGAAAGAGUUAUCUUGUUUGUGUUUUUACAUUUUGGAGGAGUUGACAGAUAAAGACAAGGCUUGGGGGUAUUUCCAAUGACAAGGAGGUGCUUCCGGCUGGAGUUGAACCAGCCACCUUAGGAUCACAGCGUUUCACACAAGGAGCAUCUUACAGUCCACCGCUCUACCAACUGAGCUAUCAAGGUGCUCUCUAGUGACAAGUGCAGAAAACAUAGUGGCUUCGAAGACACACUAUGCCCACAGAACUAUUCCAACCCAUGGUCAAUGAAAAGCCCAGCCCUACCUGACGAACAAAGCUUUGCAGUUUGUACCCAACAGUCAUUGCCAGGGACCCAGAACUGAUAAUCAGGACUUUUAGGCUGGGUGAAUAAAAAAUUGAUGGUUGAAAAUUUAAGAAAGAGUUAUCUUGUUUGUGUUUUUACAUUUUGGAGGAGUUGAGAGAUAAAGACAAGGUUUUGGGGUAUUUCCAAUGACGAGGAGGUGCUUCCGGCUGGAGUUGAACCAGCGACCUUAGGAUCACAGCGUUUCACACAAGGAGCAUGUUACAGUCCACCGCUCUACCAACUGAGCUAUCAAGGUGCUCUCUAGUCAGAAGUGCAGAGAACAUAGUGGCUUCGAAGACACACUAUGCCCACAGAACUAUUCCAACCCAUGGUCAAUGAAAAGCCCAGCCCUACCUGACGAACAAAGCUUUGCAGUUUGUACCCAACAGUCAUUGCCAGGGACCCAGAACUGAUAAUCAGGACUUUUAGGCUGGGUGAAUAAAAAAUUGAUGGUUGAAAAUUUAAGAAAGAGUUAUCUUGUUUGUGUUUUUACAUUUUGGAGGAGUUGACAGAUAAAGACAAGGCUUGGGGGUAUUUCCAAUGAAAUGGAGGUGCUUCCGGCUGGAGUUGAACCAGCCACCUUCGGAUCACAGCGUUUCACACAAGGAGCAUGUUACAGUCCACCGCUCUACCAACUGAGCUAUCAAGGUGCUCUCUAGUCACAAGUGCAGAAAACAUAGUGGCUUCGAAGACACACUAUGCCCACAGAACUAUUCCAACCCAUGGUCAAUGAAAAGCCCAGCCCUACCUGACGAACAAAGCUUUGCAGUUUGUACCCAACAGUCAUUGCCAGGGACCCAGAACUGAUAAUCAGGACUUUUAGGCUGGGUGAAUAAAAAAUUGAUGGUUGAAAAUUUAAGAAAGAGUUAUCUUGUUUGUGUUUUUACAUUUUGGAGGAGUUGACAGAUAAAGAGAAGGCUUGGGGGUAUUUCCAAUGACAAGGAGGUGCUUCAGGCUGGAGUUGAACCAGCGACCUUAGGAUCACAGCGUUUCACACAAGGAGCAUCUUACAGUCGACCGCUCUACCAACUGAGCUAUCAAGGUGCUCUCUAGUCACAAGUGCAGAAAACAUAGUGGCUUCGAAGACACACUAUGCCCACAGAACUAUUCCAACCCAUGGUCAAUGAAAAGCCCAGCCCUACCUGACGAACAAAGCUUUGCAGUUUGUACCCAACAGUCAUUGCCAGGGACCCAGAACUGAUAAUCAGGACUUUUAGGCUGGGUGAAUAAAAAAUUGAUGGUUGAAAAUUUAAGAAAGAGUUAUCUUGUUUGUGUUUUUACAUUUUGGAGGAGUUGACAGAUAAAGACAAGGCUUGGGGGUAUUUCCAAUGACAAGGAGGUGCUUGAGGCCGGAGUUGAACCAGCCACCUUAGGAUCACAGCGUUUCACACAAGGAGCAUCUUACAGUCCACCGCUCUACCAACUGAGCUAUCAAGGGGCUCUCUUGUCCCUAGUGCAGAAAACAUAGUGGCUUCGAAGACACACUAUGCCCACAGAACUAUUCCAACCCAUGGUCAAUGAAAAGCCCAGCCCUACCUGACGAACAAAGCUUUGCAGUUUGUACCCAACAGUCAUUGCCAGGGACCCAGAACUGAUAAUCAGGACUUUUAGGCUGGGUGAAUAAAAAAUUGAUGGUUGAAAAUUUAAGAAAGAGUUAUCUUGUUUGUGUUUUUACAUUUUGGAGGAGUUGACAGAUAAAGACAAGGUUUUGGGGUAUUUCCAAUGACGAGGAGGUGCUUCCGGCUGGAGUUGAACCAGCGACCUUAGGAUCACAGCGUUUCACACAAGGAGCAUGUUACAGUCCACCGCUCUACCAACUGAGCUAUCAAGGUGCUCUCUAGUCACAAGUGCAGAAAACAUAGUGGCUUCGAAGACACACUAUGCCCACAGAACUAUUCCAACCCAUGGUCAAUGAAAAGCCCAGCCCUACCUGACGAACAAAGCUUUGCAGUUUGUACCCAACAGUCAUUGCCAGGGACCCAGAACUGAUAAUCAGGACUUUUAGGCUGGGUGAAUAAAAAAUUGAUGGUUGAAAAUUUAAGAAAGAGUUAUCUUGUUUGUGUUUUUACAUUUUGGAGGAGUUGACAGAUAAAGACAAGGUUUUGGGGUAUUUCCAAUGACGAGGAGGUGCUUCCGGCUGGAGUUGAACCAGCGACCUUAGGAUCACAGCGUUUCACACAAGGAGCAUCUUACAGUCCACCGCUCUACCAACUGAGCUAUCAAGGUGCUCUCUAGUCACAAGUGCAGAAAACAUAGUGGCUUCGAAGACACACUAUGCCCACAGAACUAUUCCAACCCAUGGUCAAUGAAAAGCCCAGCCCUACCUGACGAACAAAGCUUUGCAGUUUGUACCCAACAGUCAUUGCCAGGGACCCAGAACUGAUAAUCAGGACUUUUAGGCUGGGUGAAUAAAAAAUUGAUGGUUGAAAAUUUAAGAAAGAGUUAUCUUGUUUGUGUUUUUACAUUUUGGAGGAGUUGACAGAUAAAGACAAGGUUUUGGGGUAUUUCCAAUGACGAGGAGGUGCUUCCGGCUGGAGUUGAACCAGCGACCUUAGGAUCACAGCGUUUCACACAAGGAGCAUCUUACAGUCCACCGCUCUACCAACUGAGCUAUCAAGGUGCUCUCUAGUCACAAGUGCAGAAAACAUAGUGGCUUCGAAGACACACUAUGCCCACAGAACUAUUCCAACCCAUGGUCAAUGAAAAGCCCAGCCCUACCUGACGAACAAAGCUUUGCAGUUUGUACCCAACAGUCAUUGCCAGGGACCCAGAACUGAUAAUCAGGACUUUUAGGCUGGGUGAUUAAAAAAUUGAUGGUUGAAAAUUUAAGAAAGAGUUAUCUUGUUUGUGUUUUUACAUUUUGGAGGAGUUGACAGAUAAAGACAAGGCUUGGGGGUAUUUCCAAUGACAAGGAGGUGCUUCCGGCUGGAGUUGAACCAGCCACCUUAGGAUCACAGCGUUUCACACAAGGAGCAUCUUACAGUCCACCGCUCUAGCAACUGAGCUAUCAAGGUGCUCUCUAGUCACAAGUGCAGAAAACAUAGUGGCUUCGAAGACACACUAUGCCCACAGAACUAUUCCAACCCAUGGUCAAUGAAAAGCCCAGCCCUACCUGACGAACAAAGCUUUGCAGUUUGUACCCAACAGUCAUUGCCAGGGACCCAGAACUGAUAAUCAGGACUUUUAGGCUGGGUGAAUAAAAAAUUGAUGGUUGAAAAUUUAAGAAAGAGUUAUCUUGUUUGUGUUUUUACAUUUUGGAGGAGUUGAGAGAUAAAGACAAGGUUUUGGGGUAUUUCCAAUGACGAGGAGGUGCUUCCGGCUGGAGUUGAACCAGCGACCUUAGGAUCACAGCGUUUCACACAAGGAGCAUGUUACAGUCCACCGCUCUACCAACUGAGCUAUCAAGGUGCUCUCUAGUCACAAGUGCAGAAAACAUAGUGGCUUCGAAGACACACUAUGCCCACAGAACUAUUCCAACCCAUGGUCAAUGAAAAGCCCAGCCCUACCUGACGAACAAAGCUUUGCAGUUUGUACCCAACAGUCAUUGCCAGGGACCCAGAACUGAUAAUCAGGACUUUUAGGCUGGGUGAAUAAAAAAUUGAUGGUUGAAAAUUUAAGAACGAGUUAUCUUGUUUGUGUUUUUACAUUUUGGAGGAGUUGACAGAUAAAGACAAGGCUUGGGGGUAUUUCCAAUGACAAGGAGGUGCUUCCGGCCGGAGUUGAACCAGCCACCUUAGGAUCACAGCGUUUCACACAAGGAGCAUCUUACAGUCCACCGCUCUACGAACUGAGCUAUCAAGGGGCUCUCUAGUCCCUAGUGCAGAAAACAUAGUUGCUUCGAAGACACACUAUGCCCACAGAACUAUUCCAACCCAUGGUCAAUGAAAAGCCCAGCCCUACCUGACGAACAAAGCUUUGCAGUUUGUACCCAACAGUCAUUGCCAGGGACCCAGAACUGAUAAUCAGGACUUUUAGGCUGGGUGAAUAAAAAAUUGAUGGUUGAAAAUUUAAGAAAGAGUUAUCUUGUUUGUGUUUUUACAUUUUGGAGGAGUUGACAGAUAAAGACAAGGUUUUGGGGUAUUUCCAAUGACGAGGAGGUGCUUCCGGCUGGAGUUGAACCAGCCACCUUAGGAUCACAGCGUUUCACACAAGGAGCAUCUUACAGUCCACCGCUCUACCAACUGAGCUAUCAAGGUGCUCUCUAGUCACAAGUGCAGAAAACAUAGUGGCUUCGAAGACACACUAUGCCCACAGAACUAUUCCAACCCAUGGUCAAUGAAAAGCCCAGCCCUACCUGACGAACAAAGCUUUGCAGUUUGUACCCAACAGUCAUUGCCAGGGACCCAGAACUGAUAAUCAGGACUUUUAGGCUGGGUGAUUAAAAAAUUGAUGGUUGAAAAUUUAAGAACGAGUUAUCUUGUUUGUGUUUUUACAUUUUGGAGGAGUUGACAGAUAAAGACAAGGCUUGGGGGUAUUUCCAAUGACAAGGAGGUGCUUCCGGCUGGAGUUGAACCAGCCACCUUAGGAUCACAGCGUUUCACACAAGGAGCAUCUUACAGUCCACCGCUCUACCAACCGAGCUAUCAAGGUGCUCUCUAGUCACAAGUGCAGAAAACAUAGUGGCUUCGAAGACACACUAUGCCCACAGAACUAUUCCAACCCAUGGUCAAUGAAAAGCCCAGCCCUACCUGACGAACAAAGCUUUGCAGUUUGUACCCAACAGUCAUUGCCAGGGACCCAGAACUGAUAAUCAGGACUUUUAGGCUGGGUGAUUAAAAAAUUGAUGGUUGAAAAUUUAAGAAAGAGUUAUCUUGUUUGUGUUUUUACAUUUUGGAGGAGUUGACAGAUAAAGACAAGGCUUGGGGGUAUUUCCAAUGAAAUGGAGGUGCUUCCAGCUAGAGUUGAACCAGCCACUUUCGGAUCACAGCGUUUCACACAAGGAGCAUCUUACAGUCCACCGCUCUACCAACUGAGCUAUCAAGGUGCUCUCUAGUCACAAGUGCAGAAAACAUAGUGGCUUCGAAGACACACUAUGCCCACAGAACUAUUCCAACCCAUGGUCAAUGAAAAGCCCAGCCCUACCUGACGAACAAAGCUUUGCAGUUUGUACCCAACAGUCAUUGCCAGGGACCCAGAACUGAUAAUCAGGACUUUUAGGCUGGGUGAAUAAAAAAUUGAUGGUUGAAAAUUUAAGAAAGAGUUAUCUUGUUUGUGUUUUUACAUUUUGGAGGAGUUGACAGAUAAAGAGAAGGCUUGGGGGUAUUUCCAAUGACAAGGAGGUGCUUCCGGCUGGAGUUGAACCAGCGACCUUAGGAUCACAGCGUUUCACACAAGGAGCAUCUUACAGUCGACCGCUCUACCAACUGAGCUAUCAAGGUGCUCUCUAGUCACAAGUGCAGAAAACAUAGUGGCUUCGAAGACACACUAUGCCCACAGAACUAUUCCAACCCAUGGUCAAUGAAAAGCCCAGCCCUACCUGACGAACAAAGCUUUGCAGUUUGUACCCAACAGUCAUUGCCAGGGACCCAGAACUGAUAAUCAGGACUUUUAGGCUGGGUGAAUAAAAAAUUGAUGGUUGAAAAUUUAAGAAAGAGUUAUCUUGUUUGUGUUUUUACAUUUUGGAGGAGUUGACAGAUAAAGACAAGGUUUUGGGGUAUUUCCAAUGACGAGGAGGUGCUUCCGGCUGGAGUUGAACCAGCGACCUUAGGAUCACAGCGUUUCACACAAGGAGCAUCUUACAGUCCACCGCUCUACCAACUGAGCUAUCAAGGUGCUCUCGAGUCACAAGUGCAGAAAACAUAGUGGCUUCGAAGACACACUAUGCCCACAGAACUAUUCCAACCCAUGGUCAAUGAAAAGCCCAGCCCUACCUGACGAACAAAGCUUUGCAGUUUGUACCCAACAGUCAUUGCCAGGGACCCAGAACUGAUAAUCAGGACUUUUAGGCUGGGUGAUUAAAAAAUUGAUGGUUGAAAAUUUAAGAAAGAGUUAUCUUGUUUGUGUUUUUACAUUUUGGAGGAGUUGACAGAUAAAGACAAGGCUUGGGGGUAUUUCCAAUGACAAGGAGGUGCUUCCGGCUGGAGUUGAACCAGCCACCUUAGGAUCACAGCGUUUCACACAAGGAGCAUCUUACAGUCCACCGCUCUACCAACUGAGCUAUCAAGGUGCUCUCUAGUCACAAGUGCAGAAAACAUAGUGGCUUCGAAGACACACUAUGCCCACAGAACUAUUCCAACCCAUGGUCAAUGAAAAGCCCAGCCCUACCUGACGAACAAAGCUUUGCAGUUUGUACCCAACAGUCAUUGCCAGGGACCCAGAACUGAUAAUCAGGACUUUUAGGCUGGGUGAAUAAAAAAUUGAUGGUUGAAAAUUUAAGAAAGAGUUAUCUUGUUUGUGUUUUUACAUUUUGGAGGAGUUGAGAGAUAAAGACAAGGUUUUGGGGUAUUUCCAAUGACGAGGAGGUGCUUCCGGCUGGAGUUGAACCAGCGACCUUAGGAUCAAAGCGUUUCACACAAGGAGCAUGUUACAGUCCACCGCUCUACCAACUGAGCUAUCAAGGUGCUCUCUAGUCACAAGUGCAGAAAACAUAGUGGCUUCGAAGACACACUAUGCCCACAGAACUAUUCCAACCCAUGGUCAAUGAAAAGCCCAGCCCUACCUGACGAACAAAGCUUUGCAGUUUGUACCCAACAGUCAUUGCCAGGGACCCAGAACUGAUAAUCAGGACUUUUAGGCUGGGUGAAUAAAAAAUUGAUGGUUGAAAAUUUAAGAACGAGUUAUCUUGUUUGUGUUUUUACAUUUUGGAGGAGUUGACAGAUAAAGACAAGGCUUGGGGGUAUUUCCAAUGACAAGGAGGUGCUUCCGGCCGGAGUUGAACCAGCCACCUUAGGAUCACAGCGUUUCACACAAGGAGCAUCUUACAGUCCACCGCUCUACGAACUGAGCUAUCAAGGGGCUCUCUAGUCCCUAGUGCAGAAAACAUAGUUGCUUCGAAGACACACUAUGCCCACAGAACUAUUCCAACCCAUGGUCAAUGAAAAGCCCAGCCCUACCUGACGAACAAAGCUUUGCAGUUUGUACCCAACAGUCAUUGCCAGGGACCCAGAACUGAUAAUCAGGACUUUUAGGCUGGGUGAAUAAAAAAUUGAUGGUUGAAAAUUUAAGAAAGAGUUAUCUUGUUUGUGUUUUUACAUUUUGGAGGAGUUGACAGAUAAAGACAAGGUUUUGGGGUAUUUCCAAUGACGAGGAGGUGCUUCCGGCUGGAGUUGAACCAGCCACCUUAGGAUCACAGCGUUUCACACAAGGAGCAUCUUACAGUCCACCGCUCUACCAACUGAGCUAUCAAGGUGCUCUCUAGUCACAAGUGCAGAAAACAUAGUGGCUUCGAAGACACACUAUGCCCACAGAACUAUUCCAACCCAUGGUCAAUGAAAAGCCCAGCCCUACCUGACGAACAAAGCUUUGCAGUUUGUACCCAACAGUCAUUGCCAGGGACCCAGAACUGAUAAUCAGGACUUUUAGGCUGGGUGAUUAAAAAAUUGAUGGUUGAAAAUUUAAGAACGAGUUAUCUUGUUUGUGUUUUUACAUUUUGGAGGAGUUGACAGAUAAAGACAAGGCUUGGGGGUAUUUCCAAUGACAAGGAGGUGCUUCCGGCUGGAGUUGAACCAGCCACCUUAGGAUCACAGCGUUUCACACAAGGAGCAUCUUACAGUCCACCGCUCUACCAACCGAGCUAUCAAGGUGCUCUCUAGUCACAAGUGCAGAAAACAUAGUGGCUUCGAAGACACACUAUGCCCACAGAACUAUUCCAACCCAUGGUCAAUGAAAAGCCCAGCCCUACCUGACGAACAAAGCUUUGCAGUUUGUACCCAACAGUCAUUGCCAGGGACCCAGAACUGAUAAUCAGGACUUUUAGGCUGGGUGAUUAAAAAAUUGAUGGUUGAAAAUUUAAGAAAGAGUUAUCUUGUUUGUGUUUUUACAUUUUGGAGGAGUUGACAGAUAAAGACAAGGCUUGGGGGUAUUUCCAAUGAAAUGGAGGUGCUUCCAGCUAGAGUUGAACCAGCCACUUUCGGAUCACAGCGUUUCACACAAGGAGCAUCUUACAGUCCACCGCUCUACCAACUGAGCUAUCAAGGUGCUCUCUAGUCACAAGUGCAGAAAACAUAGUGGCUUCGAAGACACACUAUGCCCACAGAACUAUUCCAACCCAUGGUCAAUGAAAAGCCCAGCCCUACCUGACGAACAAAGCUUUGCAGUUUGUACCCAACAGUCAUUGCCAGGGACCCAGAACUGAUAAUCAGGACUUUUAGGCUGGGUGAAUAAAAAAUUGAUGGUUGAAAAUUUAAGAAAGAGUUAUCUUGUUUGUGUUUUUACAUUUUGGAGGAGUUGACAGAUAAAGAGAAGGCUUGGGGGUAUUUCCAAUGACAAGGAGGUGCUUCAGGCUGGAGUUGAACCAGCGACCUUAGGAUCACAGCGUUUCACACAAGGAGCAUCUUACAGUCGACCGCUCUACCAACUGAGCUAUCAAGGUGCUCUCUAGUCACAAGUGCAGAAAACAUAGUGGCUUCGAAGACACACUAUGCCCACAGAACUAUUCCAACCCAUGGUCAAUGAAAAGCCCAGCCCUACCUGACGAACAAAGCUUUGCAGUUUGUACCCAACAGUCAUUGCCAGGGACCCAGAACUGAUAAUCAGGACUUUUAGGCUGGGUGAAUAAAAAAUUGAUGGUUGAAAAUUUAAGAAAGAGUUAUCUUGUUUGUGUUUUUACAUUUUGGAGGAGUUGACAGAUAAAGACAAGGCUUGGGGGUAUUUCCAAUGACAAGGAGGUGCUUCCGGCCGGAGUUGAACCAGACACCUUAGGAUCACAGCGUUUCACACAAGGAGCAUCUUACAGUCCACCGCUCUACCAACUGAGCUAUCAAGGGGCUCUCUUGUCCCUAGUGCAGAAAACAUAGUGGCUUCGAAGACACACUAUGCCCACAGAACUAUUCCAACCCAUGGUCAAUGAAAAGCCCAGCCCUACCUGACGAACAAAGCUUUGCAGUUUGUACCCAACAGUCAUUGCCAGGGACCCAGAACUGAUAAUCAGGACUUUUAGGCUGGGUGAAUAAAAAAUUGAUGGUUGAAAAUUUAAGAAAGAGUUAUCUUGUUUGUGUUUUUACAUUUUGGAGGAGUUGAGAGAUAAAGACAAGGUUUUGGGGUAUUUCCAAUGACGAGGAGGUGCUUCCGGCUGGAGUUGAACCAGCGACCUUAGGAUCACAGCGUUUCACACAAGGAGCAUGUUACAGUCCACCGCUCUACCAACUGAGCUAUCAAGGUGCUCUCUAGUCACAAGUGCAGAAAACAUAGUGGCUUCGAAGACACACUAUGCCCACAGAACUAUUCCAACCCAUGGUCAAUGAAAAGCCCAGCCCUACCUGACGAACAAAGCUUUGCAGUUUGUACCCAACAGUCAUUGCCAGGGACCCAGAACUGAUAAUCAGGACUUUUAGGCUGGGUGAAUAAAAAAUUGAUGGUUGAAAAUUUAAGAAAGAGUUAUCUUGUUUGUGUUUUUACAUUUUGGAGGAGUUGACAGAUAAAGACAAGGUUUUGGGGUAUUUACAAUGACGAGGAGGUGCUUCCGGCUGGAGUUGAACCAGCCACCUUAGGAUCACAGCGUUUCACACAAGGAGCAUCUUACAGUCCACCGCUCUACCAACUGAGCUAUCAAGGUGCUCUCUAGUCACAAGUGCAGAAAACAUAGUGGCUUCGAAGACACACUAUGCCCACAGAACUAUUCCAACCCAUGGUCAAUGAAAAGCCCAGCCCUACCUGACGAACAAAGCUUUGCAGUUUGUACCCAACAGUCAUUGCCAGGGACCCAGAACUGAUAAUCAGGACUUUUAGGCUGGGUGAAUAAAAAAUUGAUGGUUGAAAAUUUAAGAAAGAGUUAUCUUGUUUGUGUUUUUACAUUUUGGAGGAGUUCACAGAUAAAGACAAGGCUUUGGGGUAUUUCCAAUGACAAGGAGGUGCUUCCGGCUGGAGUUGAACCAGCGACCUUAGGAUCACAGCGUUUCACACAAGGAGCAUCUUACAGUCGACCGCUCUACCAACUGAGCUAUCAAGGGGCUCUCUAGUCUCAAGUGCAGAAAACAUAGUGGCUUCGAAGACACACUAUGCCCACAGAACUAUUCCAACCCAUGGUCAAUGAAAAGCCCAGCCCUACCUGCAGAACAAAGCUUUGCAGUUUGUACCCAACAGUCAUUGCCAGGGACCCAGAACUGAUAAUCAGGACUUUUAGGCUGGGUGAAUAAAAAAUUGAUGGUUGAAAAUUUAAGAACGAGUUAUCUUGUUUGUGUUUUUACAUUUUGGAGGAGUUGACAGAUAAAGACAAGGCUUGGGGGUAUUUCCAAUGACGAGGAGGUGUUUCCGGCUGGAGUUGAACGAGCGACCUUAGGAUCACAGCGUUUCACACAAGGAGCAUCUUACAGUCCACCGGUCUACCAACUGAGCUAUCAAGGGGCUCUCUAGUCACAAGUGCAGAAAACAUAGUGGCUUCGAAGACACACUAUGCCCACAGAACUAUUCCAACCCAUGGUCAAUGAAAAGCCCAGCCCUACCUGACGAACAAAGCUUUGCAGUUUGUACCCAACAGUCAUUGCCAGGGACCCAGAACUGAUAAUCAGGACUUUUAGGCUGGGUGAAUAAAAAAUUGAUGGUUGAAAAUUUAAGAAAGAGUUAUCUUGUUUGUGUUUUUACAUUUUGGAGGAGUUGACAGAUAAAGACAAGGUUUUGGGGUAUUUCCAAUGACAAGGAGGUGCUUCCGGCUGGAGUUGAACCAGCCACCUUAGGAUCACAGCGUUUCACACAAGGAGCAUGUUACAGUCCACCGCUCUACCAACUGAGCUAUCAAGGUGCUCUCGAGUCACAAGUGCAGAAAACAUAGUGGCUUCGAAGACACACUAUGCCCACAGAACUAUUCCAACCCAUGGUCAAUGAAAAGCCCAGCCCUACCUGACGAACAAAGCUUUGCAGUUUGUACCCAACAGUCAUUGCCAGGGACCCAGAACUGAUAAUCAGGACUUUUAGGCUGGGUGAUUAAAAAAUUGAUGGUUGAAAAUUUAAGAAAGAGUUAUCUUGUUUGUGUUUUUACAUUUUGGAGGAGUUGACAGAUAAAGACAAGGCUUGGGGGUAUUUCCAAUGACAAGGAGGUGCUUCCGGCUGGAGUUGAACCAGCGACCUUAGGAUCAAAGCGUUUCACACAAGGAGCAUCUUACAGUCCACCGCUCUACAAACUGAGCUAUCAAGGUGCUCUCUAGUCACAAGUGCGGAACACAUAGUGGCUUCGAAGGCACACUAUGCCCACAGAACUAUUCCAACCCAUGGUCAAUGAAAAGCCCAGCCCUACCUGCAGAACAAAGCUUUGCAGUUUGUACCCAACAGUCAUUGCCAGGGACCCAGAACUGAUAAUCAGGACUUUUAGGCUGGGUGAAUAAAAAAUGAUGGUUGAAAAUUUAAGAACGAGUUAUCUUGUUUGUGUUUUUACAAUUUGGAGGAGUUGACAGAUAAAGACAAGGCUUGGGGGUAUUUCCAAUGACAAAGAGGUGCUUCCGGCUGGUGUUGAACCAGCGACCUUAGGAUCACAGCGUUUCACACAAGGAGCAUGUUACAGUCCACCGCUCUACCAACUGAGCUAUCAAGGUGCUCUCUAGUCACAAGUGCAGAAAACAUAGUGGCUUCGAAGACACACUAUGCCCACAGAACUAUUCCAACCCAUGGUCAAUGAAAAGCCCAGCCCUACCUGACGAACAAAGCUUUGCAGUUUGUACCCAACAGUCAUUGCCAGGGACCCAGAACUGAUAAUCAGGACUUUUAGGCUGGGUGAUUAAAAAAUUGAUGGUUGAAAAUUUAAGAAAGAGUUAUCUUGUUUGUGUUUUUACAUUUUGGAGGAGUUGACAGAUAAAGACAAGGCUUGGGGGUAUUUCCAAUGAAAUGGAGGUGCUUCCAGCUAGAGUUGAACCAGCCACUUUCGGAUCACAGCGUUUCACACAAGGAGCAUCUUACAGUCCACCGCUCUACCAACUGAGCUAUCAAGGUGCUCUCUAGUCACAAGUGCAGAAAACAUAGUGGCUUCGAAGACACACUAUGCCCACAGAACUAUUCCAACCCAUGGUCAAUGAAAAGCCCAGCCCUACCUGACGAACAAAGCUUUGCAGUUUGUACCCAACAGUCAUUGCCAGGGACCCAGAACUGAUAAUCAGGACUUUUAGGCUGGGUGAAUAAAAAAUUGAUGGUUGAAAAUUUAAGAAAGAGUUAUCUUGUUUGUGUUUUUACAUUUUGGAGGAGUUGACAGAUAAAGAGAAGGCUUGGGGGUAUUUCCAAUGACAAGGAGGUGCUUCAGGCUGGAGUUGAACCAGCGACCUUAGGAUCACAGCGUUUCACACAAGGAGCAUCUUACAGUCGACCGCUCUACCAACUGAGCUAUCAAGGUGCUCUCUAGUCACAAGUGCAGAAAACAUAGUGGCUUCGAAGACACACUAUGCCCACAGAACUAUUCCAACCCAUGGUCAAUGAAAAGCCCAGCCCUACCUGACGAACAAAGCUUUGCAGUUUGUACCCAACAGUCAUUGCCAGGGACCCAGAACUGAUAAUCAGGACUUUUAGGCUGGGUGAAUAAAAAAUUGAUGGUUGAAAAUUUAAGAAAGAGUUAUCUUGUUUGUGUUUUUACAUUUUGGAGGAGUUGACAGAUAAAGACAAGGCUUGGGGGUAUUUCCAAUGACAAGGAGGUGCUUCCGGCCGGAGUUGAACCAGCCACCUUAGGAUCACAGCGUUUCACACAAGGAGCAUCUUACAGUCCACCGCUCUACCAACUGAGCUAUCAAGGGGCUCUCUUGUCCCUAGUGCAGAAAACAUAGUGGCUUCGAAGACACACUAUGCCCACAGAACUAUUCCAACCCAUGGUCAAUGAAAAGCCCAGCCCUACCUGACGAACAAAGCUUUGCAGUUUGUACCCAACAGUCAUUGCCAGGGACCCAGAACUGAUAAUCAGGACUUUUAGGCUGGGUGAAUAAAAAAUUGAUGGUUGAAAAUUUAAGAAAGAGUUAUCUUGUUUGUGUUUUUACAUUUUGGAGGAGUUCACAGAUAAAGACAAGGUUUUGGGGUAUUUCCAAUGACAAGGAGGUGCUUCCGGCUGGAGUUGAACCAGCCACCUUAGGAUCACAGCGUUUCACACAAGGAGCAUGUUACAGUCCACCGCUCUACCAACUGAGCUAUCAAGGUGCUCUCGAGUCACAAGUGCAGAAAACAUAGUGGCUUCGAAGACACACUAUGCCCACAGAACUAUUCCAACCCAUGGUCAAUGAAAAGCCCAGCCCUACCUGACGAACAAAGCUUUGCAGUUUGUACCCAACAGUCAUUGCCAGGGACCCAGAACUGAUAAUCAGGACUUUUAGGCUGGGUGAAUAAAAAAUUGAUGGUUGAAAAUUUAAGAAAGAGUUAUCUUGUUUGUGUUUUUACAUUUUGGAGGAGUUGACAGAUAAAGACAAGGUUUUGGGGUAUUUCCAAUGACGAGGAGGUGCUUCCGGCUGGAGUUGAACCAGCCACCUUAGGAUCACAGCGUUUCACACAAGGAGCAUCUUACAGUCCACCGCUCUACCAACUGAGCUAUCAAGGUGCUCUCUAGUCACAAGUGCAGAAAACAUAGUGGCUUCGAAGACACACUAUGCCCACAGAACUAUUCCAACCCAUGGUCAAUGAAAAGCCCAGCCCUACCUGACGAACAAAGCUUUGCAGUUUGUACCCAACAGUCAUUGCCAGGGACCCAGAACUGAUAAUCAGGACUUUUAGGCUGGGUGAAUAAAAAAUUGAUGGUUGAAAAUUUAAGAACGAGUUAUCUUGUUUGUGUUUUUACAUUUUGGAGGAGUUGACAGAUAAAGACAAGGCUUUGGGGUAUUUCCAAUGACAAGGAGGUGCUUCCGGCUGGAGUUGAACCAGCGACCUUAGGAUCACAGCGUUUCACACAAGGAGCAUCUUACAGUCGACCGCUCUACCAACUGAGCUAUCAAGGGGCUCUCUAGUCUCAAGUGCAGAAAACAUAGUGGCUUCGAAGACACACUAUGCCCACAGAACUAUUCCAACCCAUGGUCAAUGAAAAGCCCAGCCCUACCUGCAGAACAAAGCUUUGCAGUUUGUACCCAACAGUCAUUGCCAGGGACCCAGAACUGAUAAUCAGGACUUUUAGGCUGGGUGAAUAAAAAAUUGAUGGUUGAAAAUUUAAGAACGAGUUAUCUUGUUUGUGUUUUUACAUUUUGGAGGAGUUGACAGAUAAAGACAAGGCUUGGGGGUAUUUCCAAUGACGAGGAGGUGUUUCCGGCUGGAGUUGAACGAGCGACCUUAGGAUCACAGCGUUUCACACAAGGAGCAUCUUACAGUCCACCGGUCUACCAACUGAGCUAUCAAGGGGCUCUCUAGUCACAAGUGCAGAAAACAUAGUGGCUUCGAAGACACACUAUGCCCACAGAACUAUUCCAACCCAUGGUCAAUGAAAAGCCCAGCCCUACCUGACGAACAAAGCUUUGCAGUUUGUACCCAACAGUCAUUGCCAGGGACCCAGAACUGAUAAUCAGGACUUUUAGGCUGGGUGAAUAAAAAAUUGAUGGUUGAAAAUUUAAGAAAGAGUUAUCUUGUUUGUGUUUUUACAUUUUGGAGGAGUUGACAGAUAAAGACAAGGUUUUGGGGUAUUUCCAAUGACAAGGAGGUGCUUCCGGCUGGAGUUGAACCAGCCACCUUAGGAUCACAGCGUUUCACACAAGGAGCAUGUUACAGUCCACCGCUCUACCAACUGAGCUAUCAAGGUGCUCUCUAGUCACAAGUGCAGAAAACAUAGUGGCUUCGAAGACACACUAUGCCCACAGAACUAUUCCAACCCAUGGUCAAUGAAAAGCCCAGCCCUACCUGACG